CCCUUAGAUGUUCUGGGCUGCACGCGCGCUACACUGAAGCUAUCAACACGUUUUCCCUCCCUGAGAAGGGCGGGUAACCUUUUGAAUCAGCUUCGUGGUAGGGAUCGGGGCUUGCAAUUGUUCCCCGUGAACCAGGAAUUCCUAGUAGACGCGAGUCAUAAGCUCGCAUCGAUUAAGUCCCUGCCCUUUGUACACACCGCCCGUCGCUACUACCGAUUGAACGUUUUAGUGAGGCAUUUGGACCGACGCAUCUCAGUUUAACCGCUGGUUUGUGUUGGAAAGACUUCCAAACUUGAGCGUAUAGAGGAAGUAAAAGUCGUAACA
rnacentral:rRNA from 1 species